CAGCAGCCGCGGUAAUUCCAGCUCCNAUAGCGUAUAUUAAAGNUGNUGCAGNUAAAAAGCUCGUAGUUGAAUAUCGGGGUCAGUAGGUCGGUCGUGCCACUGGUAUGAACUGCUUUUACUGAUUCCUCCCUCUUGAAGAACUGUAAUGCCAUUAAUUUGGUGUUGCAGGGAAUCAGGACUGUUACUUUGAAAAAAUUAGAGUGUUUAAAGCAGGCUUUAGCUUGAAUACAUUAGCAUGGAAUAAUGAAAUAGGACGUUUGAUCCUAUUUUGUUGGUUUCUAGGAUUGACGUAAUGAUUAAUAGGGAUAGUUGGGGGCAUUAGUAUUCAAUUGUCAGAGGUGAAAUUCUUGGAUUUAUUGAAGACUAACUACUGCGAAAGCAUUUGCCAAGGAUGUUUUCAUUAAUUAAGAACGAAAGUUAGGGGAUCGAAGACGAUCAGAUACCGUCGUAGUCUUAACCAUAAACUAUGCCGACUAGGGAUCGGAUGAUGUUAAUUUUUUAAUGACUCA
rnacentral:rRNA from 1 species